CUCCAUUUGGGGCCCUAGCUGCUUUGUGGGGUCUGUGACAUCAGCCCUUGUGAUGAUAAUGGAUGGGCCUCACACAGGGGGCACUCCUUCCUUUGCCAACUCAUACCAGCUUCCAGAGAGGAUUGAAGCUCUUGUUCCCUUAGGGUGGGGGCAGGAUGUGGGCCCAGAAUUGGACCCAAGACAACAGUCCCCCUCCCAGGCUGAACCCACUGCUCAGUGUACCUUCCAAACCCAAGCUAUGACCUUCCUCUCUCCAAAGCUCCAGAAAAGGAAAGGAAUCUGAACAUUGAGAUGCUUUUCUGGCCCUAAACAAUCCUCCCAUUCUCUAGGCUCAAUGAUGGGUCUAUUCCCUCCUGUAAAUGGGUCUCGUAAUCUUCAACUUUUACCUUUGCUUCUAAGGGUAAUUAAUUGGAUCUCCCUCUUGUUCUCCCCACACACUCCCCUCUCUGUUACAAGGCUCAGGUUAAGGUGGCUUUUUUUCUGUUCUAUGAGGUGCUUAUUUUUAAAGCUGGUGGACUAAGGCCCUUCCCUCCCCUGCAAAUCCCUUCUCCAGAGAAGCCCACUAGGGGAAAUGACUUCCACAGACACUGGAAAGGGGCUCAUGACUAUGCCAGCUAGAGGGUUUUUAUUUUUUUAUUUUUUUGGUACUGGGGAUUGAACUCGGGUCCUUCCGCUUGCGCAGCAGGUGGUGAAACCACUGAGCUAAAUCCCCGGCCAGCUAGAGGCUUUUUAGAUCAUCAGUUCUAAGUGACUAGGUCACUCCCCGCCCCCUCCUCCAAGUGUGUUUCCAAAGAUUUAGAGAAGAAGGAGUUUUCAGGGAGCACUCAUAAGAGCAAAGUGGAGGGUUGAGUGUGAUCUGGCUGGUAGACAGAAGAUACAAAGAUGCCAAGGGGACAUAGGACAAAGUAUUCCUAUAGCAUAAAAUUUGAGUAGAACUGAUUGGCUCACCAAUUGAAAACUGUAACAAAAAACCCAACUCAGAAAAGGACAUUUACUGACUAAACAACCAAAGAAGUAUUAUGUACCUGCCUAUCAGACUGACAAAAUUUUUAAAGUCUGAUGUUAACAAUCAUUGGUGAGGAUGUGAAGAAACAAGACCUCAUGGUGAUGAGAAGAUAAAGAAAUACAACUACUUUAGAAAGCCAUUUGGUGAUGCAGAUCCAAAUGCCUUAUCUGUAAUUCAGAAACCCAGAAAGCUCUGAAAUCUGAAAGUUCUUUCUUAACUUAUUUGGUGGCAAAACUUGACCUGAUGUAAAAAUACAUGUCUUCAUUUAUCCCACUUAAUGUGGAUAUUUAUACUUCUCACCCCAGAAAAAAUAAUAUAUUUGAUUAUGGGCUACUUCUCAAAGCCUGCUGAGAUUAUUCUAUAUGGCACAUACGCAUAUUACCUUUCCAAAAUCCAAAAAAUUCUUAACACAUCUGACCCCAAGGACUUUGAACAACAUAUUGUAGACCUGAGUCUAGUAAAGUCAUACAUCUGGACAUCCUAAGACUCAACCAUUCUGCUCCUAAGGCUAUUCUUUAGAGAAAUCUAUCCAUAUGUGCACAAGGAGACAUAUCUAAGCAUGUUAAUUAUAGCAUUAUUUGUAAUGAUAAAAAUUAGAAAUAACCUAAAUGUUCAUCAAUGGGAGAAUAAAUUGUGAUAUAUUAACCCAGUAGAAUGCUAAAUAGUUAAGGUAUUGAUACAUGGGUGAGCAUUUUUAAGUCUAAAGAGUUGUUGAAUAAAAAAGAUGUUGAAGAAUGAUAGAUAACAG
ensembl:lncRNA